UACGUAGGGCGCAAGCGUUGUCCGGAAUUAUUGGGCGUAAAGAGCUCGUAGGUGGCUGGUCGCGUCGGAUGUGAAAGCCCAUGGCUUAACUGUGGGUCUGCAUUCGAUACGGGCCGGCUUGAGGUAGGUAGGGGCAAGCGGAAUUCCUGGUGUAGCGGUGAAAUGCGCAGAUAUCAGGAGGAACACCGGUGGCGAAGGCGGCUUGCUGGGCCUUACCUGACGCUGAGGAGCGAAAGCGUGGGGAGCGAACAGG
rnacentral:rRNA from 2 species